UAAUACCAGCACCUCGAGUGGUCAGGACGUUUAUUGGGCCUAAAGCAUCCGUAGCCGGCUUUGCAAGUCUUCGGUUAAAUCCACCUGCUCAACAGAUGGGCCGCUGGAGAUACUACAAAGCUAGGGAGUGGGAGAGGCAGACGGUAUUCAGUGGGUAGGGGUAAAAUCCUCUGAUCCAUUGAGGACCACCAGUGGCGAAGGCGGUCUGCCAGAACACGUUCGACGGUGAGGGAUGAAAGCUGGGGGAGCAAACCGGAUUAGAUACCCGGGUAGUCCCAGCUGUAAACGAUGCAAACUCGGUGAUGCAUUGGCUUAUGGCCAAUGCAGUGCCGCAGGGAAGCCGUUAAGUUUGCCGCCUGGGAAGUACGGACGCAAGUCUGAAACUAAAAUGAAUUGACGGACGUCG
rnacentral:rRNA from 1 species